UACGUAGGGUGCGAGCGUUAAUCGGAAUUACUGGGCGUAAAGCGUGCGCAGGGCGGUUCGUUGUGUCGGCGGUGAAAGCCCCGGGCUUAACCUGGGAAUGGCCGUUGAAACUGGCGAACUGGAGUGUGGCAGAGGGGGGUGGAAUUCCGCGUGUAGCAGUGAAAUGCGUAGAGAUGCGGAGGAACACCGAUGGCGAAGGCAAUCCCCUGGGCCUGCACUGACGCUCAUGCACGAAAGCGUGGGGAGCAAACAGG
rnacentral:rRNA from 1 species